GCGGGAGUAGCAGAGUGGUCAAAUGCGCAAGCUUCAGGAGCUUGUCCCUUAGUGGGUACGCAGGUUCGAAUCCUGCCUCCCGCA
rnacentral:tRNA from 1 species